AGGUGCGAUCAUACCAUCACUAAUUCACUGCAUCCCAUCAGAACUCCACAGUGAAGCAUGCUUGGGUGAGAGUAGUACUAGGAUGGGUGACCUCCUGGGAAGUCCUCGUGUUGCACCUC
rnacentral:rRNA from 2 species